rnacentral:sRNA from 1 species
GAAAAAAACGAUGAAAGAUAAUGCAGAUAUGUUGCUUGAGUUGAGUCCUUACUGACGGGAGUCGUCAAACAUAACAUGCAGAGAGAGUUUGUGAAGGGGAGACACUGCACUUUUCUCUAAAUACAUAUCUGUCAACAUUUUGGAAAUAGGUUGCCUGCUGCUCACAAUUUUCCCUUUUCUUGUUAGAACAAAAGAAACUAGAGUGGAACUUGGAAGUAACUUAUCGAGUUCUCUUGCAUUCAGUAUGCAUAUGUUAGUU